rnacentral:tRNA from 2 species
UAGUAGUUAGUUUAAUUAAAACAAAUGAUUUCGACUCAUUAAAUUAUGCCUAAAUACAUAACUACUAA